rnacentral:rRNA from 1 species
UACGUAGGGUGCAAGCGUUGUCCGGAAUUAUUGGGCGUAAAGAGCUCGUAGGCGGCUGUUCGAGUCGGGUGUGAAAUCCUGAGGCUUAACCUUGGGUCUGCAUUCGAUACUGGGCGGCUUGAGUCUGGUAGGGGGAUCUGGAAUUCCUGGUGUAGCGGUGGAAUGCGCAGAUAUCAGGAGGAACACCGGUGGCGAAGGCGGGAUCCUGGGCCAGUACUGACGCUGAGGAGCGAAAGCGUGGGGAGCGAACAGG